rnacentral:rRNA from 1 species
CGGCACGCCUAACACAUGCAAGUCGAACGAAGUAGCAAUACUUAGUGGCAGACGGGUGAGUAACAUGUGGGUAUCUACCCUUUGGCCUGGAAUAACACGAGGAAACUUGUGCUAAUACCGGAUAAGUCUUUACGGAGAAAGCUUUAUGCACCAUUGGAUGAGCCUGCAUUUGAUUAGUUUGUUGGUAGGGUAAUGGCCUACCAAGACUUUGAUCAAUAGCUGAUUUGAGAGGAUGAUCAGCCACAUUGGGACUGAGACACGGCCCAAACUCCUACGGGAGGCAGCAGUGGGGAAUCUUGCACAAUGGAGGAAACUCUGAUGCAGCGAUGCCGCGUGAGUGAAGAAGGCCUUUGGGUUGUAAAGCUCUUUCGUCGGGGAAGAAAAUGACUGUACCCGAAUAAGAAGGUCCGGCUAACUUCGUGCCAGCAGCCGCGGUAAUACGAAGGGACCUAGCGUAGUUCGGAAUUACUGGGCUUAAAGAGUUCGUAGGUGGUUGAAAAAGUUGGUGGUGAAAUCCCAGAGCUUAACUCUGGAACUGCCAUCAAAACUUUUCAGCUAGAGUUUGAUAGAGGAAAGCAGAAUUUCUAGUGUAGAGGUGAAAUUCGUAGAUAUUAGAAAGAAUACCAAUUGCGAAGGCAGCUUUCUGGAUCAUUACUGACACUGAGGAACGAAAGCAUGGGUAGCGAAGAGGAUUAGAUACCCUCGUAGUCCAUGCCGUAAACGAUGUGUGUUAGACGUUGGAAAUUUAUUUUCAGUGUCGCAGCGAAAGCGAUAAACACACCGCCUGGGGAG